GAACCAGUACCGUGAGGGAAAGGUGAAAAGCACCCCGGAAGGGGAGUGAAAUAGAACCUGAAACCGUGUGCUUACAAGUAGUCAGAGCCCGUUAAUGGGUGAUGGCGUGCCUUUUGUAGAAUGAACCGGCGAGUUACGAUUUGAUGCAAGGUUAAGCAGUAAAUGUGGAGCCGUAGCGAAAGCGAGUCUGAAUAGGGCGUUUAGUAUUUGGUCGUAGACCCGAAACCAGGUGAUCUACCCUUGGUCAGGUUGAAGUUCAGGUAACACUGAAUGGAGGACCGAACCGACUUACGUUGAAAAGUGAGCGGAUGAACUGAGGGUAGCGGAGAAAUUCCAAUCGAACCUGGAGAUAGCUGGUUCUCUCCGAAAUAGCUUUAGGGCUAGCCUCAAGUGAUGAUUAUUGGAGGUAGAGCACUGUUUGGACGAGGGGCCCCUCUCGGGUUACCGAAUUCAGACAAACUCCGAAUGCCAAUUAAUUUAACUUGGGAGUCAGAACAUGGGUGAUAAGGUCCGUGUUCGAAAGGGAAACAGCCCAGACCACCAGCUAAGGUCCCAAAAUAUAUGUUAAGUGGAAAAGGAUGUGGCGUUGCCCAGACAACUAGGAUGUUGGCUUAGAAGCAGCCAUCAUUUAAAGAGUGCGUAAUAGCUCACUAGUCGAGUGACACUGCGCCGAAAAUGUACCGGGGCUAAACAUAUUACCGAAGCUGUGGAUUGUCCUUUGGACAAUGGUAGGAGAGCGUUCUAAGGGCGUUGAAGCAUGAUCGUAAGGACAUGUGGAGCGCUUAGAAGUGAGAAUGCCGGUGUGAGUAGCGAAAGACGGGUGAGAAUCCCGUCCACCGAUUGACUAAGGUUUCCAGAGGAAGGCUCGUCCGCUCUGGGUUAGUCGGGUCCUAAGCUGAGGCCGACAGGCGUAGGCGAUGGAUAACAGGUUGAUAUUCCUGUACCACCUAUAAUCGUUUUAAUCGAUGGGGGGACGCAGUAGGAUAGGCGAAGCGUGCGAUUGGAUUGCACGUCUAAGCAGUAAGGCUGAGUAUUAGGCAAAUCCGGUACUCAUUAAGGCUGAGCUGUGAUGGGGAGAAGACAUUGUGUCUUCGAGUCGUUGAUUUCACACUGCCGAGAAAAGCCUCUAGAUAGAAAAUAGGUGCCCGUACCGCAAACCGACACAGGUAGUCAAGAUGAGAAUUCUAAGGUGAGCGAGCGAACUCUCGUUAAGGAACUCGGCAAAAUGACCCCGUAACUUCGGGAGAAGGGGUGCUCUUUAGGGUUAACGCCCAGAAGAGCCGCAGUGAAUAGGCCCAAGCGACUGUUUAUCAAAAACACAGGUCUCUGCUAAACCGUAAGGUGAUGUAUAGGGGCUGACGCCUGCCCGGUGCUGGAAGGUUAAGAAGAGUGGUUAGCUUCUGCGAAGCUACGAAUCGAAGCCCCAGUAAACGGCGGCCGUAACUAUAACGGUCCUAAGGUAGCGAAAUUCCUUGUCGGGUAAGUUCCGACCCGCACGAAAGGCGUAACGAUUUGGGCACUGUCUCAACGAGAGACUCGGUGAAAUCAUAGUACCUGUGAAGAUGCAGGUUACCCGCGACAGGACGGAAAGACCCCGUGGAGCUUUACUGUAGCCUGAUAUUGAAAUUCGGCACAGCUUGUACAGGAUAGGUAGGAGCCUUUGAAACGUGAGCGCUAGCUUACGUGGAGGCGCUGGUGGGAUACUACCCUAGCUGUGUUGGCUUUCUAACCCGCACCACUUAUCGUGGUGGGAGACAGUGUCAGGCGGGCAGUUUGACUGGGGCGGUCGCCUCCUAAAAGGUAACGGAGGCGCUCAAAGGUUCCCUCAGAAUGGUUGGAAAUCAUUCAUAGAGUGUAAAGGCAUAAGGGAGCUUGACUGCGAGACCUACAAGUCGAGCAGGGUCGAAAGACGGACUUAGUGAUCCGGUGGUUCCGCAUGGAAGGGCCAUCGCUCAACGGAUAAAAGCUACCCCGGGGAUAACAGGCUUAUCUCCCCCAAGAGUUCACAUCGACGGGGAGGUUUGGCACCUCGAUGUCGGCUCAUCGCAUCCUGGGGCUGUAGUCGGUCCCAAGGGUUGGGCUGUUCGCCCAUUAAAGCGGUACGCGAGCUGGGUUCAGAACGUCGUGAGACAGUUCGGUCCCUAUCCGUCGUGGGCGUAGGAAAUUUGAGAGGAGCUGUCCUUAGUACGAGAGGACCGGGAUGGACAUACCUCUGGUGUACCAGUUGUCGUGCCAACGGCAUAGCUGGGUAGCUAUGUGUGGACGGGAUAAGUGCUGAAAGCAUCUAAGCAUGAAGCCCCCCUCAAGAUGAGAUUUCCCAACUUCGGUUAUAAGAUCCCUCAAAGAUGAUGAGGUUAAUAGGUUCGAGGUGGAAGCAUGGUGACAUGUGGAGCUGACGAAUACUAAUCGAUCGAAGACUUAAUCAA
rnacentral:rRNA from 1 species